UGGCUGAAGAGGUAUGUGCCAGCCAGGCAGCCAGUUUACUGGAUUCUGGUCUUGCUCUAACUUCUGUGGUUCGUUGGACCUAAGUUCCAUUAUGAGACGGACUUGGCAGCAGCGCAUGGGCAGUGCAUUGGAGCACAGGAAACUUCCAGAGCCAAGCUGUCAGGGGUCUUUCCCAGCACUGCCUCCUACUAAUGGUGCCUCCUACUAAUGGUAGGAUUCCUCGGCAACUCAGUUUCCACACUAGUUAAACGAUGAUGAUAUGCAUUUGUCUCGCAGGGUUGCUUCAGGCUUGGAAGAAUUCAUCACACUGGUACCCAGAGUAACUUCAGGUAAAAUGAAGGCGCACCAAAAUCAGAGCAGCUUCACAAUCGCCUAUUGACCGGGCACCUGUUCCUGCC
rnacentral:lncRNA from 1 species